GCGGACGUGGUGGAAUUGGUAGACACACCAGAUUUAGGUUCUGGCGCCGAGAGGUGUGAGAGUUCGAGUCUCUCCGUUCGCACCA
rnacentral:tRNA from 1 species